UUCCUUACUCUCCUUUCCUUUCCCCUUCCCCCGCCCGCUCCCGCCGCGGCGGGAGGCUCUCUGUCGGCAGCGGCUGGUGGAGGGUGAGGGGGGGGGCGAACGACUGAGGCUGGAAAGGUGGGUGCUCGAAUUGCCAGAGCGCCGGUCUCGACCCGUGCGUACCGAAAAGAAGCUGCCAUUUGUGAGCUGUGAGUGACGAGCGUCCAUUACUACUGGCUUCCUCCUGUGUCUCCAGUGGUGUUCACCCUGCAGAUGUGAGUGGCUGGCUGAGAGGGCCAGGCAGCAGCUGCCUGCAAAGUUUGCACUCUGGAAAGUGGGGAGAUUGUGCCUUCCCUAAAAAUGCACAAGUGAAGAAACUUACAGAAG